AUACUAUCUUAAAAAAUAGCAUACAAUCAUUUCAUAAUCCAAUCACUCGAAUCCUCUACAUUUAAUUAUCAUUCUCCCUACACUUCUUCACACAAAUCCAAACUCCAAAGACUCUUUUUCAAACUUCAAUAUUAUAAUUCUCCCAUUCAUAUUCAUUCUUCACAAAUAUUUUCAAUUGUCCACUUACAAGUUUUUACUCUAUUUAUCCAUAAUAAAUUCCAUACUUCAUAUACAAUAAUAAAUCUCUUUUUUAUUCUAGAAUUUUAGUUCACAUUAAUCAAAAACUAUCCAUUAAUCUUCAACUACAAAGAAACAAAGAGGUAGCACCAAGCUUACCUCGGCUCAUAACUAUCACAAUCUGGCCCCUCUUACUUCUUUUUCAAUCUACUUAUGCUUUCUUCAAAAUGCCAACCACUAUACAAUAUGAUAAAAACUAUUUUUUUUGACUAAAUCAUCCAUCUUGCCUUUUAAAUUAUCCAUUUAUCAAUUUACUAGCUUC
rnacentral:lncRNA from 1 species